rnacentral:pre_miRNA from 1 species
UUUUUACUCUCUCCGACCCAUAUUACUUGUCUCAAAUUUGUUCAAAUUUGGAUGUAUCUAUGUUUAAAAAGCGUCUAGAUACAUGUAAUAUUUCGACAAGUAAUAUGGGUCGGAGAAAGUACUUG